AGCAACCCACUUAUUUAAUUUGGACUGCGGAGUUAAGUAAUCAGCCCAUUCCAUUUGCAAUACGUUUGCUGUAAAUCGACAUUCUUGCCCAAGAGCACUCUUAUGAGCAAAACUGAGCAUUCAAACAAUGUGCAUGAUGGCGGAGGGGAGCUCGGUCUGAGGAUUAUUGCUACAUACUUACCGAGUUUCUUUUGUGAACUCAUGAAAAAGUGCUAUUCUACCAUCUACCGUCUCCAAUCCAGACUCUUGCUGGAGGAAUAUUUGCAGAGCCUAGUGACAGCCGCUGAACAGUCAACAUUUGCUAAUAACCACAGCAGGCUGAAACAAGACUUUCCAUAGGGAGAUCUAAGGUGAUCUCGGAACAAAUUGAUUCUGAUAACCCAGGGACUACGAAUAGUCACUGUUCAUGCUGCAUGACUGAUCAGCUAAAUUAUAUGACAUCAUUUCCGUUCACUGAUUAGGUGACCUAAUUAGCCACAAAUAUUCUUAUCAGCUGGACAAAUCUACUGUGCAAAUAAUAAGACCACUUUUCCAUAAUCGCCAUUAUAGCAUUUUCAGUGUGAUUGUUCUCAAGGAUAUUUAUGUACACCAGAAUUCACCAAGAUUUUUCUUUCUAUGAACCGUCUUGUGAACAAAACCUUGCUUACUCAACUGUUAACACAUAAUCAAGUGAAGGUGGUCUAGGAUACUGGUGGAGUGAAUCAGUGUGUUUUAUUCACAGGAAUAUUCACAAAAUGCUUUUUUGCUGCAUUCACGGCAUGUAUUGAGGAAGGUAAUUAACAGUGACUAAUGAACAAGAGGGAGUGACUUAUUAGAGAUUGGAGAAACUAAAUAGGUUCUUCUUGGCUAAGCAAUGACUAAAAAAGGGCAUCUGCAACUAUUUGAAGGAUGGAAACAUUCAGGGCCAGAUUCUGAUAUAUUAUUCAACAUGGGUAAGGUCUUGCUCCACAAAUGGCCCCCUUGAAGCCAAUGGGACUAGUCCUGAAGUAAGAUGAUUCUAAGUGUGAAUAAAGGCUCAGCAUCUGGCCCUAAAAGAGAAAUUACUUAGUGUGGUACAAGUCAGGGGAGACACUGGGACGAAAAUUAACAAAAGAAAAUUUAAGGUUUAAUAUCAAGAAGCUCUUCCCAAGAGGGCAUUCUAUAAUACUGGGAACAGUUUCCCCAUAGCUGUGGUGGAAGUCUCCCCAUCGUUGGGGCAUUUAAACUAGGCAGAAACAAUAGGAAAUAUAUUGUAAGGAAUCGUUGUGCUGGGGGAGAGGGUCUAGAUCAUACUCCUAGAUAAGGCCAGAAGGAACCGUUAUGAUCAUCUAGUCUGACCUCCUGCACAUCGCAGGCCACAGCAUGUCACCCAUCCACUCCUGCCAUAGCCCCAUAACCUCUGGCUGAGUUACUGAAGUCCUCAAAUCUUGAUUAAAAGACUUCAAGUGACCGAGAAUCCACCAGUUGCCUAAUGGGUCUUUUCAAACACAAAUUAUUAUGAUUUUAAGAAUCCGGGUUCUCCCCGAUAGACCUAUCAAGUUGCUCAGCUCCAACGCAAUGCACAGAUUCUUAGCAGAGACCAUAAAUUUCUUUGUGAGUCCUCUCUUUUCUUUACAGUUUCCAUGACUGUCAAGAGCAUGGGGAGUGCAGGCUGAGCUAAACCUUUGAAAAACAUUUAGGUCACCUCCCAGCAAAUGCACCAAGGAGCUGCCAAAGAAAAGCAUAACAAUCUUUCAGCUUCAAUCAUUUCAGCUGAAAUUAUAAUGCAGAGGAAUGUCGACAUGAUUGGUAGGUUUUAGCAGAAAGAGCUCAUUUCCCCCAGUCCCCUCCCUCUGCCCCCUGUGCUCAAAAUGUUGUGUUUUUUGGCAUUACCAAGUUUACAAAGGCACAAAAGAUCCCUCCAAGUGGUAAGUUAUCCCAUUGCCUAUCCCAGAGCUGCAAAUCAUGAUGAUUUCUUCCUUGUUCUUUUUCAAAUGAAAUAGUCCAUGCACCAGGCAGCAAUCUCAGGCUUGUACAGAUGAGAUAGAAGAAACUCCUUUUAUAUUGUGCCCAUUGCUUUUAAUUUAACAGGGCUGUUGGCUGCCUUUGCACCUGGGCUGAGAUUACCUAGUACGGAAAUAGGAGAAAUAAUGAAUCCAAAACCAAAUAGAAAAGCACUCAUCAAAACAAUUUGAGAUGCUCAGGAGAAUGUUAUGUAAAUGAGGUGACACAGUAGGGAAAUGGCUAAAGACAGGAGGAGAACAAUACAUGGUACUUUCAGACUCUUGAUUGGAGGAAAAGCGAGCAGUGGUAGGUAGGUAAAUAAAUAUUAAUCCCGUAUCUCCUUGUGUUGGCACAGCAGCGUUAGCUGCACAACAGAAGAUCACACUUUAGAGUAGUGGACCCAGAGAGGUGGUUUCUGGGUGACUGAGUGGGUACACACCACUGGAGCAGUAGCUUUGGCAGCUUUCCUGU